UAAUCUAAUUCUCAUUUUCAGUUGAAAAGCAAAGUUUGAAUCGCUGCCACUGGGAUCUUCUCUCUGACGAUCUCCUCUGACUAAUCUCCUCCGGUGACGACCUCCUCUGACCGAUCUCUUCCGGCGACGACCUCCUCCAACGACGACCUCAUUUGGCGACGUUUUUCUCAGCGGCAGUCUUCUCUGGUGACCUCUCCUCCAAGGACAAUCUCCUCCUCUGACAGUCUUCUCCUGCGACGGUCUCCUCAAGCGACAUCUCCUACUGCAAUGAUCUCCUCCGGUGGCAUUCUCUUACGCUGGCAAUAUCAUCCAUCGAGCUAAUGUGCUGUGAGAUUCUCCUCCCACAAGCUCGCGAGAAUACAUGAUAGAUUUUGCGAAAUGGCAACUACAACUACUAAAACUGCAGGAGCUAGGGUUUCUGAGGAAGGAAUCGUUGAAACAUUUCAUAAUGAUGAUGAUGAAGUGCUCGAUGAUGCGGAGAAUGGAGUUGCGCACAAUGAAAAGUCAUUCUCUUUGAAAACAAUGGAGGAUGGUCAAGUGCUCCUAUAUUCGAACUCCGUCAAUGCUCGGAAAACUAGAAUCCCAUAUCCAUGGUUACUUUUUAAUGAGAAGAUAAAAGUGAACUCUGUUUUCCUCCGCGACCCCACAGCUGUGCCUGAUGCAGUGGUGCUUCUGUUUGGUGGGAGAACUUAUUGAAAGGGGUUGCUGAUGGCCACUUAAAAAUGUUGGGAGGAUAUCUGGAGUUCUUCAUGGAACCUCCUGUUGCUGAUCUGUACCAGUGUAAAGAGAGAACUUGAUGACUUAAUUCAAAGAAAAGUUUUGAUUGUUCUAUGCUAACUUCUGCUACUUAUUUUAUUUAAUGCCAGGUUUUGAAUUUUUUUCCUUGUUCAAUUUAUUUUUAGGUCAGAAAUUGGGGAUUAUUAGAAGAAAUUGAAUGAAAAAAUUGCCUUGUUGGGUGCCAUUCAAUCUCUCUUUGAAGGUUCAAUGUAUACCUUUGUGUUCCUAUGGGAAGCUCACUGGCAUCUAGGUUGAUGGCUCGCACAUCACUCCGAGUAGAGGGCUACAUGCAGAUUGUUUUUGCAGUUUCUGCUGCUUAUCUAAUACUUCCCAUUUUGACCAUUUUCGUCGUGUCUCCUACAAAGGAGAAAGGUGGAGGCAUCUCAUUUGCUGGUUCCAUUCAGCUUUUGGCUUCUGUACUUUCGAGAGUUGUGUUGGCAUAUUCUGGCCAUCUAUUAUGAUGAGAUCUCAAUACAUUUCGAAGGAGGCUACGAGCACAAUCAUGAACUGUAGGAUUUCAAUUGCAUUGUUAUCAACUGGACAAGGACAAUACCACUUGUUGUACUUAGAAGCUUGAAUGAUUUAGUGUAUUUCUUGAACAUACUUCUUCAGUUUAGGUUGGCUUAUGUUUCUGCUAGUACUGGAUCAAGGGUGAUUGAUAUAGUUGACCAUCCAAAAGAGAUUGCUAUGCAUUAUUUGCAUAGCUAUUUUCUUCUUGAUUUAUUUGUAGUGAUUCCUUUGCCUCAGAUAAUAAUAUUGUUUGUGCUACCAAAGUACUUGGGUUCAUCAGGAGCAAAUCAUUCAAAGAAUCUUAUAUCUGCAGUGAUCCUUGUGCAAUACAUUCCCAGAUUAUUCAGAUUCUCCUUACAAAAUGGAGCAAGAAACAAAGAUGUUGGAACAAGUUUUCGGGAUGAAACUCACACAAGAGACCAAGAAACUAAGGCUGGCUUGUUUUAAAGUUAAUUACAAAAGGAGAAAAUUUUUGGCCUCCAAAUCUUAUUCAUCAUCACUUAGCUAAGCUACUUGUCUUGUAUAUUCAUAUUUUAAGUACUAAAGACAGCACUUAUUAGAUGGUUUAAAUACAUUAUUAGAUAUUAACAUAGUUUAACUGAUUAGUGU